AAGCUCGUAGUUGAAUUUCGGGGUUAGUAGGUUGGUCAUGCCUCUGGUAUGUACUGGUCUCACUGAUUCCUCCUUCCUUAUGAACCGUAAUGCCAUUAAUUUGGCGUUGCGGGGAAUUUGGACUGUUACUUUGAAAAAAUUAGAGUGUUUAAAGCAAGCUAACGCUUGAAUACAUUAGCAUGGAAUAAUGAAAUAGGACGUUCGAUCUUAUUUUGUUGGUUUCUAGGAUUGACGUAAUGAUUAAUAGGGAUAGUUGGG
rnacentral:rRNA from 1 species